UACGUAGGGGGCAAGCGUUGUCCGGAUUUAUUGGGCGUAAAGAGCGUGUAGGCGGCUUGGUAGGUCCGCUGUGAAAACUCGAGGCUUAACCUCGAGCUGUCGGCGGAAACCAUCUGGCUAGAGUCCGGAAGAGGAGAAUGGAAUUCCCGGUGUAGCGGUGAAAUGCGCAGAUAUCGGGAAGAACACCCGUGGCGAAGGCGGUUCUCUGGGACGGUACUGACGCUGAGACGCGAAAGCGUGGGGAGCGAACAGG
rnacentral:rRNA from 1 species